rnacentral:ncRNA from 2 species
CGCCAUAGCAUUGCUUCUGGUAUCCCCGGGGUCGUCACGCCGGGGGUUUAAACGGGAAGCUGGUGCGAUCGUCCCCACGGGACAGUCAAUGCCAGCGCUGCCCCCGCAACGGUAAGCGAGAAGGGCACGCAUCACGCCACUGUGCAUUUCGCAUGGGAAGGCGCCUGUCCAGGGAAACCCCCGCCUCGCCAGCCCGGAGACCGGCCCGGAGCAAAUUCUAAAA